GCAUCCGGAGCCGCUGCGCACAGAGGGCCUUCAAAGAUUCAGCGUUGACAGGGGUUGUUCUGAAUGUAACAGGAUCCCGUGGCAGAUGUAAACCAGACUGCAAGCAUUUGCCUUGCGUUUUGCAGAGGAGGUCAGCGCGGGGGUUUGCCUGUGAAAACGUGGAUGUGGGGCUGCCAGCAUCAGCAGGCAAAGCUGGGUGCUUCUCUUGGUGGUACUUUGCAAACCAAGCGUGGGCAGCGCAGCCCUCUUCUGCCAUCCUUUGGACCUCCCAUGGCCUCUGCAUCGCGCUGACACCUCGCUGAGGCUGACAGGAGCUGCGUUUUGGCCCAGGAGCUCCACACGAGGAGGCUGGGCCUGCAGAGUGGAGCACUCCGGGUCUCAUUUGCAGGUGGGCAGUGGGGGCUCCCAGUGAGGGCUGUCUGCAUGUUGCAGGUCCAGGUUCUUUAGAAGCCCUGGGUGUUGCUACGUGCUUCGCAGGGAGCCUUUGAAGUCAGCCUGAGCUCCAAGCCAUCCCCUAAUUGCUUCUCCUUUAUCAGACAGAUUUUCAAUGAACUUCACAGAAGGCGUUUGAGGCCAGAGCGGCCCCAUCGGCUGCCAAGUGACCGGUGCUGGGUGAGCCCUGUUUUUUAAAUGUAAAGAUGUUUCUUUAUGUUUGGGUAGGGACGGGCUGCGGUCACCGGGACCUGAGGAAGCGGCAGGCAGCCUCCGUGCAUUGGGAUAGCACAGCUCAGGUUUCCUUUCAGGCCUUGGCUAUGUUACCUUGGAGGAAUGUUCUCAUGGUGUGAGAUCUCUGUUGGAUGUGGACAUGGCAGCGCAUCUUCAGAUCCAUCUGCCCACCAAGAAGAGAUGUCCUCCCUCAAACUGGAGAUUGCCAUAGCCAAAAAGCCCUCAAGGAAUCUGCAGAUCUUCUCUCAUCCCAUCUUCCCCGUGGAUGGGAAAACAACUGUGUAAGAAGAGAAGGAACCUGUCCUCAAGAUAUGGUCAAAUCUGUCACCACCCGGUUGCCAAAUCAUUGCGAGAGAGUGAUGGAUGGAGCUGGAAAACCUGGUCAGUUCAGAGAUGGACUGAUGAGAGAUGGAACGGGAUCACAUCUUGGUGAACACACAGGCUGAAAGGACGCUUGUGAUCCCAAAGCCCUUCUGUGUUUAGCCAGACCUCUCAUUCACUUGCAGAGGAAACCCAUGUCAGCCGCUCCCCUUUGUCUCCCCUGAGCUAUUGCUUUGAAUCUGAAAGGAUUGGGUGCAGAUUUCAAGGGAUGUUCAGACAAAGGCUGUUUGAACAGCACUUGUGUAAAUAAUCCAUGAAAAACUCUUUGAAUAACCUCAAUGAAAUUUUCUCUGAAUUUGCUAUUCUUUUUCUCCGCAGCAGAAAGAGG
rnacentral:lncRNA from 1 species